GUACCCUCCAGCCCUGCUGGGUGUUGGGCGUUUUGUUCCGCCACGCGCGUGAACUCGCCUCAAAUGCAUUGGCAGCCAGCCGUCCCGCGUGGGAGCGCAGCACAUUUUGCGCUCUCCGCUGGGUGCGGCGGCGUCCACAAGCCUAUACCUUUAC
rnacentral:misc_RNA from 1 species